UACGUAGGCAGCGAGCGUUGUUCGGAGUUACUGGGCGUAAAGAGUGCGUAGGCGGUUUUCUAAGUUUGGUGUGAAAUCUCCCGGCUUAACUGGGAGGGUGCGCCGAAAACUGGAAGGCUUGAGUAUGGGAGAGGUAAGCGGAAUUCCUGGUGUAGCGGUGAAAUGCGCAGAUAUCAGGAGGAACACCAAUUGCGAAGGCAGCUCGCUGGGACGUUACUGACGCUGAGACGCGAAAGCGUGGGGAGCAAACAGG
rnacentral:rRNA from 1 species